AUUAAAUUUUUAACUUGACGCAAAAUAAAUUACAACACUUUACAAAAACUAAGCUGUUUCUUACAUUUUUUCGUAAAUUUUUAAUUUUAAAAGAGCCCAAGUAUUUUUUCUAGGUUUUGGUUAUUUUCUUAGAAGGAUUUUCUGGAAAUGUCAAUUGUCAAGUUGAAAAAGUGCGCGCGCAUGCGCUUGGGUUAUUUCGGGAAUUCGUCAAUUAACAAUUUUAACUAAUCAGAUCGUCUAAAAUUACCUAGGGGUAGAAAGGUUAAUCCAAUGAAAAACUGAACACAUGAGAUGCACGAUGCAACAAAGACGGACUUAUCAAUUAAUGAAUUAACGUAACGAUUGUUGAAAAUUUGUAAGCAUUUUGAUUGGGCCGUUUGAGGUCGGCCAUUAAAAUUACCGAGAAAACCAAUCACUUUGGAGUUUUUGGUUCAUUGAAUAAUUAUAUUUUUGGAAAUGAUUGGUUCAUUUAAGGUCGGCCAUUAAAAUAAUGUGAGAAACCAAUCACUUUGAAUUUUUGAACUCAUUCAUGAUUUAAUUCAAAUGAUUAAUGAAAAUUUGAAAGCAUUUGCUAAAUAAACAUUGUUUUUUAAA